rnacentral:rRNA from 1 species
GAUGAACGCUGGCGGCGUGCCUAAUACAUGCCAGUCGAGCGAACGGACGAGAAGCUUGCUUUUCUGAUGUUAGCGGCGGACGGGUGAGUAACACGUGGAUAACCUACCUAUAAGACUGGGAUAACUUCGGGAAACCGGAGCUAAUACCGGAUAAUAUUUUGAACCGCAUGGUUCAAAAGUGAAAGACGGUCUUGCUGUCACUUAUAGAUGGAUCCGCGCUGCAUUAGCUAGUUGGUAAGGUAACGGCUUACCAAGGCAACGAUGCAUAGCCGACCUGAGAGGGUGAUCGGCCACACUGGAACUGAGACACGGUCCAGACUCCUACGGGAGGCAGCAGUAGGGAAUCUUUCGCAAUGGGCGAAAGCCUGACGGAGCAACGCCGCGUGAGUGAUGAAGGUCUUCGGAUCGUAAAACUCUGUUAUUAGGGAAGAACAUAUGUGUAAGUAACUGUGCACAUCUUGACGGUACCUAAUCAGAAAGCCACGGCUAACUACGUG